GUUGUUCGCAUGAACAACGCUUAAAAGAUGGCUUCUCGCUAUCACUUCUGGAUGGACCUGCGGUGCAUUAGCUUGUUGGUGGGGUAANGGCCUACCAAGGCGAUGAUGCAUAGCCGAGUUGAGAGACUGAUCGGCCACAAUGGGACUGAGACACGGCCCAUACUCCUACGGGAGGCAGCAGUAGGGAAUCUUCCACAAUGGGCGCAAGCCUGAUGGAGCAACACCGCGUGAGUGAAGAAGGGUUUCGGCUCGUAAAGCUCUGUUGUUAAAGAAGAACACGUAUGAGAGUAACUGUUCAUACGUUGACGGUAUUUAACCAGAAAGUCACGGCUAACUACGUGCCAGCAGCCGCGGUAAUACGUAGGUGGCAAGCGUUAUCCGGAUUUAUUGGGCGUAAAGAGAGUGCAGGCGGUUUUCUAAGUCUGAUGUGAAAGCCUUCGGCUUAACCGGAGAAGUGCAUCGGAAACUGGAUAACUUGAGUGCAGAAGAGGGUAGUGGAACUCCAUGUGUAGCGGUGGAAUGCGUAGAUAUAUGGAAGAACACCAGUGGCGAAGGCGGCUACCUGGUCUGCAACUGACGCUGAGACUCGAAAGCAUGGGUAGCGAACAGGAUUAGAUACCCUGGUAGUCCAUGCCGUAAACGAUGAGUGCUAGGUGUUGGAAGGGUUUCCGCCCUUCAGUGCCGGAGCUAACGCAUUAAGCACUCCGCC
rnacentral:rRNA from 1 species